rnacentral:lncRNA from 1 species
UUGGUUCCCUUCAAAGGCUUGAAUUCUGGUUCUCUUUGAAAUUCUCUUACUGAGCUUGAUUACACUUGAAAAACAAAUCUCUUUAAAAAGAGCUUUCAGAAAUUGAUUAAGAAUUCUUCUUAAAAGCUUGAUUGCCAAGUCUGAUUACUAUGGAAAUAACAUUUCCUCAAAGCUUGAUGCCAAAUUUUCAAUUCUUCAAAA